UGAUUUACAACACAAUGGAAAUAAAAAGCUGAAGGAUUGACUGUUAGUUCAUCAACUUUAAGGUAAUUUUGCUAUAUAUUGUUUUUUACAAUAUUUGGAAAUGUUGACAUUAUGAGACAGAUUCAAGUCAUUGAUUAAACCAACGAACACAUCACAGAAUCCACCAAACCCACUAGUAAUAGUGCUGUUUUUUUCCUCUAAAAUGAUGUCAUUUCCUGGAGAAUAAUGUCUUCCUCUUAGUUAGUUAAAGGGAUAUUACAGAUUUUAGUUAUGUUGUAACUACACCUUCCAUCUGCAACUUUCUCCAGCCAAAACAGCAAAUUAUUGUAUUACAGUUGUUGUCAAAACAUGUAAAUGAUUAUUAAUUAAAACUAAAAUUAUUUCCAUUUUUACGAAUUUUGAGUGUAAUGCUUUUUUUCAGUAUUAUAAGAUAUAUACUGCAUGAUGGUGAUGAAAAUAUAUAAAAUACAUGAAUGGAAAUAGCAUCACUGCAUUCUUUCAGAUACUUGCAGCAAUGCUUCUAGCCGUUCCUUCACCCUCUCCUCACCCAGAACACACACACGUCAGAAUCUGUCUUCAUCUGCAUCACUUGUGUCCCAGCCGCUCCAUCCGUCAAAGCCAGAUCUCAUCCUCUGUGCCAACCCGGAGAAAUGGAGGAGGAGCCAAGGAACUAGCUGAAAGACAGAGAGAAGGCAGAUCCAUGAGAUGGAAAAGUCCUGUAAUCACAGAUGAAGUGUAUCGGCUGUCACUGUCAAAACCCACCCCGGAGUUUGACUCACGUAGCCUGACUGACCAACCCGCUGACCCCUGGACCCGAAGACAUCACAAAUGAGAUCUCUCUUUAAUAUCUCAGUUGCUUCUCUUACACAGAAACAACGAUGCCAGAGAUACCGACGUCUGAACACCCUUUAGUCAACCCACCAGUGCUUUAGAAAUCAAACAGAGCACAGCAGCAAAUGCAUAUCAACACAAAAACGUUAUAAAAAGUAUAACAUUUUGAAAUGUUUCUAAAACACUGACAUGGUUAGAAUGUUAUUUGAAGGUUACAAAAACGUUUCUUACAACAUUCUUCUAACCUUAUUUUCACCCAAAAUGUAAUUGAA
ensembl:lncRNA